rnacentral:rRNA from 1 species
GAUGAACGCUGGCGGCGUGCUUAACACAUGCAAGUCGAACGGGGUAUCCGCAAGGGUAUCUAGUGGCGAAUGGGUGAGUAACACGUAGGGAUCUGCCCUCCAGUGGGGAAUAACGCCGCGAAAGCGGUGCUAAUACCGCACGUGACCGCCUUCGGGCGGGAAGACUGGCGAACCGACGCUGGAGGAGGGACCUGCGGCCCACUCAGCUAGUUGGUAGGGUAACGGCCUACCAAGGCGACGACGGGAGGGGCCGUGGAGAGGGUGGUCCCCCGACCACC